GGGGAUGUAGCUCAGCGGGAGAGCGGUGCCUUUGCAAGGCAUAGGUCCGGGGUUCAAAUCCCCGCAUCUCCA
rnacentral:tRNA from 1 species